GAUGAACGCUGGCGGCGCGCUUAAGACAUGCAAGUCGAACGGAACUUAGCCGAAUGUUUACAUGAGGCGAAAGUUUAGUGGCGGACGGGUGAGUAACACGUGAGUAACCUGCCUUAGAGAAUGGGACAACAGAGGGAAACUUCUGCUAAUACCGUAUAUGACCACAGUACCGCAUGGUACAGGGGUGAAAGGAGCAAUCCGCUCUAAGAUGGGCUCGCGGCUGAUUAGCUAGUUGGUGAGGUAACGGCCCACCAAGGCGACGAUCAGUAGCCGAACUGAGAGGUUGAUCGGCCACAUUGGGACUGAGACACGGCCCAGACUCCUACGGGAGGCAGCAGUCGGGAAUAUUGCACAAUGGGGGAAACCCUGAUGCAGCGACGCCGCGUAAAGGAAGAAGGUCUUCGGAUUGUAAACCUUUGUCGACAGGGAAGAAGAAAGUGACAGUACCUGUGGAGGAAGCCCCGGCUAACUACGUG
rnacentral:rRNA from 1 species